CAGGCCGGGUCCCGGAAGCCCGGGCAGCGCCCGAGUCCGCAGCUGCCGCCUGGGCUGGGUCGCCGCUGCCUGCAGCUCUGGGAAGCGUCCGGGACUCACCUGGGGACCACGUGCAGAGGAAUCCUUAACCUCGGCAAACGGACCUUCUGAGGAGGAACAACCAGGGAAGCAACCACCGUUCUGACCAUCGGGAGAGAAAAGAUACCCUUUGAUUGGGAGGAGAAAUCUAUCAUAUUUCAAGAGCAACUGUGGCUCCUCUAGUGCUAUUUUGAAUGAAGAGCAUUCAUUUGUUGGGUUUUUCCUGGAGAGCAUUAAGAGAGAGUAGCUGGACAGCAAGCCUGUGGGACCGCCUUUCUUCAGGAAGAAUUAUGUGUGAAUGCAAAGUUCUCCACAUUUGAGACUGUUGUCAACCCUUGACAUACCUCACUCGAAGCUAAAUAAUACUGGAUUCUAAUAUCGUCUCAUUGCAUACAACAAAACGCAACACUAUUUCAGUUCCCUGUGCCUUAAAUUAUUGCCUCACUACUUUCUGGAAUACGGUUCUUCUUUUUUUUUUUUUUUUAAUCCUUCAAAACAGACCAUCAAAAAUGAGAACUCCAAUCAAAACCUCAGAGAGAUCAGACAGAUGAAAAGACUGCUUUUAUGUCUUAACAUGUUUAACAUGUGGAUGGCAGACAGGGCACAGCUAUUGAAAUUCCUCUCUUUCCAAAGAAGGGUUAUCACAAAGGAUGGGACAGGCACCCAGUAAUGGAGAUUUGGCUUCUCCCUGUUUUAAGUUUCCUCUGCUAAAAAUGGUCAACUGCACCCACCUGAGUCUACAGAAGGGAUGCCAUUCGGAAAUAGAUUAUUACAGAAUUGAUCAAGACGGUUAAAAGUGUGGAGUAUCUUCGUUCCCAGCACACACACCCUCCAUGCUCUCUCACUCUCCCUGUUGUGUGUGAGCCUGGAUAACACUGCGUCCCACUGUGGGGAUGAGGUUUGGAAGCAGCAGCAGGCUCCUGCACGGACAUCCUGCUGCACCAAAUGAGUCGGUUUCCCAGCCAGAUGUCAGUUGGACUCCAUGAUCUAAUAUUCUCCCCUUAAUUCAUAAUAACAGCUUUCUAAACUUCUGCGAGGAAAGUUUUGUCUGAAAAGGGUAUGCGAUCCAAGACAUGUUCAUUGUAUAAGUAGAACUUGGAUGUUUUUACAUAUAGUCUAAGUAUUUCAUGUCCUUGAGUGGGGCAAAGAGUUAUUUUCACCAAUGUCCUCUUCAGGAAUGAAUGUAUAUUAUUUGUAAUCCCCUCAGAGAUCAUGUAGAGUUGUAAUUAACACUCAAAAAUGCU